rnacentral:rRNA from 1 species
GAUGAACGCUGGCGGCGUGCCUAAUACAUGCAAGUCGAGCGAACAGACGAGGAGCUUGCUCCUCUGACGUUAGCGGCGGACGGGUGAGUAACACGUGGAUAACCUACCUAUAAGACUGGGAUAACUUCGGGAAACCGGAGCUAAUACCGGAUAAUAUAUUGAACCGCAUGGUUCAAUAGUGAAAGACGGUUUUGCUGUCACUUAUAGAUGGAUCCGCGCCGCAUUAGCUAGUUGGUAAGGUAACGGCUUACCAAGGCAACGAUGCGUAGCCGACCUGAGAGGGUGAUAGGCCACACGGGAACUGAGACACGGUCCAGACUACUACGGGAGGCAGCAGUAGGGAAUCUUCCGCAAUGGGCGAAAGCCUGACGGAGCAACGCCGCGUGAGUGAUGAAGGUCUUGGGAUCGUAAAACUCUGUUAUUAGGGAAGAACAAAUGUGUAAGUAACUAUGCACGUCUUGACGGUACCUAAUCAGAAAGCCACGGCUAACUACGUG